rnacentral:rRNA from 1 species
AUGCACGCUGACAGAAUGCUUCACACAUGCCAGUCUUUGGCGAAGCUGUGCUUGCACAGCCUAGCCAAGGCGGACGGGUGAGUAACGCGUAAGGAACUUGCCCUGCAGUCAGGGAUAACAGACGGAAACGACUGAUAAGACCUGGUAAAGUCAGGCGGACUCAUGUCCAGCCUGAUGAAAAGAGAUGCUGCAGGAGAGCCUUGCGUCCUAUUAGCUUGUUGGUGGGGUAACGGCCCACCAAGGCGAUGAUAGGUAGCCGGCCUGAGAGGGUGGACGGCCACAAGGGGACUGAGAUACGGCCCUUACUCCUACGGGAGGCAGCAGUGGGGAAUAUUGGACAAUGGGGGCAACCCUGAUCCAGCAAUUCUGUGUGCACGAUGAAGGUUUUCGGAUUGUAAAGUGCUUUCAGCAGGGAAGAAAAAAUGACGGUACCUGCAGAAGAAGCGACGGCUAAAUACGUG